rnacentral:rRNA from 1 species
GAUGAACGCUGGUGGCGUGCCUAAUACAUGCAAGUCGAGCGAACGGACGAGAAGCUUGCUUCUCUGAUGUUAGCGGCGGACGGGUGAGUAACGCGUGGAUAACCUACCUAUAAGACUGGGAUAACUUCGGGAAACCGGAGCUAAUACCGGAUAAUAUUUUGAACCGCAUGGUUCAAAAGUGAAAGACGGUCUUGCUGUCACUUAUAGAUGGAUCCGCGCUGCAUUAGCUAGUUGGUAAGGUAACGGCUUACCAAGGCAACGAUGCAUAGCCGACCUGAGAGGGUGAUCGGCCACACUGGAACUGAGACACGGUCCAGACUCCUACGGGAGGCAGCAGUAGGGAAUCUUCCGCAAUGGGCGAAAGCCUGACGGAGCAACGCCGCGUGAGUGAUGAAGGUCUUCGGAUCGUAAAACUCUGUUAUUAGGGAAGAACAUAUGUGUAAGUAACUGUGCACAUCUUGACGGUACCUAAUCAGAAAGCCACGGCUAACUACGUG